AAUUUUAAAAAACUUGAUGCCUCUCUUCUGAGAAUGAGGCUUCUAUAAAUAAUAGAAAAGAGAAUCUUGCACAGUAAUAUGUGGGGUCCUGUGCAUAGUGUUUUUUACUGUUACAACUUACUGUUACAACAGAGAGUUUUAUCAACUAGUCAUAUCUUGUCUUGUCAUGUCUUGUCUUUUACUUUCCAUUUUUUGAUGAAUGCUUCGGCCUUUUCAAUCUCUUCUUCUUCUAUCAGAGCUUCGGGUGGUUGUGAAUCGGUAAUAUCUUCGGUAUUUGCAUCUGUGCUAUUCAUUGAAGCAUCCGAAUUUUGCUCAACAGUUUGAAGUAAUUUAUCUCGAACUUCUGAUAGAUAUUCUUCUAUUAAUUGCAUUUUAUUACCCUCAUGAGCUGAAAUUCUUCUGGAAACAUAAUUAA
rnacentral:lncRNA from 1 species